ensembl:ncRNA asRNA:CR44984 antisense RNA:CR44984
AUUUUCCCCAGUGCACCCAUAAAAUGUAACGCUGGCAUGUGGCCAUUUUAUUUGGCAAGCUGCAUGAAGGUUGAAACGGAAUGGAAUGAAACGGAAACGCAACGACACGGAAUGGAACGGAUGGAGAGUUGCAUUUUUCGCGAAGAAGAGGAAGACGAGAAGGAAGAAGUUGGGGGCUCGUGUGGCACAGUUGGCACUUAAAAUUUAUGCGUUUCCACAUAAAGAAACCAAACCGAACAUUAAAAAGCAGGCGGCCAACGGGAAACGGAAGUCGCAGGCACCAGGCAAAUAAAAAUACAAUUGAAAUCUGGGAAUGAAAGGGGGCAAUGAAAAUGAAACAUAAACACAAACACCAAGAGGCGGAAGGCCAUGUGUGUAUUCUGCAAGUCUCAACAUGCAACACGCGGCUUUGACAUUAAGGACACGGGCAAUAGUGAUGACCUAACGGAUCGCGACAAAUCGUAAAAAUAUUCUGGAUAAGGAAAAUUAUAGGAUACAAAAAUUGAUUACAGAUUACUUACCUAUAGCCGGAACUCAACUGCACUUCACCGAUGGCUACGUUAUCGAAUUGGGCGGGAUUCGCUGUCCAGCGGGUCCAGAAGAAAGAGAAAUCGUUCGCCUCAUACUUGUCGUUAAACCGGCACUUGAGGGUUAAGUCAGCAUUCUCACGUGUGUCAAUGGAUUCAUCGGCCAGAGUCGUGGAACUCAGAGCUACGAGUGCUGAAAAGAUAUAGCGAAUAUAUAAGAAUUAGAUCAAAACUCGUUUAAAACAAAUCAAAGGACUUUUUUCCUUCCCAAGAUCGUAACGUUUAUUGUGAAUAAUAAAUAUUUGACACACCCAUAAGCAUUAUACAUUUUUGACCACCACACUAACCAACUUAUCAAAUUUUCAUAAGACUUAAAUCGAAAAGAAUCAUAACUUUUCACUUCAAUCCCUAAACCCAGACCAGAAAAU